UCGAGCGAGUCUGCCUUGAAGAUCGGAGUGCUUGCACUCUGUGAAACAAGAUACAGGCUAGCGGCGGACGGGUGAGUAACACGUGGGUAACCUGCCCAAGAGAUCGGGAUAACACCUGGAAACAGAUGCUAAUACCGGAUAACAACAGAUGAUGCCUAUCAACUGUUUAAAAGAUGGUUCUGCUAUCACUCUUGGAUGGACCUGCGGUGCAUUAGCUAGUUGGUAGGGUAACGGCCUACCAAGGCGAUGAUGCAUAGCCGAGUUGAGAGACUGAUCGGCCACAUUGGGACUGAGACACGGCCCAAACUCCUACGGGAGGCAGCAGUAGGGAAUCUUCCACAAUGGACGCAAGUCUGAUGGAGCAACGCCGCGUGAGUGAAGAAGGGUUUCGGCUCGUAAAGCUCUGUUGUUGGUGAAGAAGGACAGGGGUAGUAACUGGCCUUUGUUUGACGGUAAUCAAUUAGAAAGUCACGGCUAACUACGUGCCAGCAGCCGCGGUAAUACGUAGGUGGCAAGCGUUGUCCGGAUUUAUUGGGCGUAAAGCGAGUGCAGGCGGUUCGAUAAGUCUGAUGUGAAAGCCUUCGGCUCAACCGGAGAAUUGCAUCAGAAACUGUCGAGCUUGAGUACAGAAGAGGAGAGUGGAACUCCAUGUGUAGCGGUGAAAUGCGUAGAUAUAUGGAAGAACACCGGUGGCGAAGGCGGCUCUCUGGUCUGUUACUGACGCUGAAGCUCGAAAGCAUGGGUAGCGAACAGGAUUAGAUACCCUGGUAGUCCAUGCCG
rnacentral:rRNA from 1 species